rnacentral:rRNA from 1 species
AACGAACGCUGGCGGCAUGCCUAACACAUGCAAGUCGAACGAGACCUUCGGGUCUAGUGGCGCACGGGUGCGUAACGCGUGGGAACCUGCCCUUAGGUUCGGAAUAACUCCCCGAAAGGGGUGCUAAUACCGGAUAAUGUCUUCGGACCAAAGAUUUAUCGCCUUUGGAUGGGCCCGCGUUGGAUUAGCUAGAUGGUAGGGUAAAAGCCUACCAAGGCGACGAUCCAUAGCUGGUCUGAGAGGAUGAUCAGCCACACUGGGACUGAGACACGGCCCAGACUCCUACGGGAGGCAGCAGUGGGGAAUAUUGGGCAAUGGGCGAAAGCCUGAUCCAGCAAUGCCGCGUGAGUGAUGAAGGCCUUAGGGUUGUAAAGCUCUUUUACCCGGGAUGAUAAUGACAGUACCGGGAGAAUAAGCUCCGGCUAACUCCGUG